CCUACGGGGAGCAGCAGUGGGGAAUAUUGCACAAUGGGGGAAACCCUGAUGCAGCGAUGCCGCGUGCGUGAAGAAGUAUCUCGGUACGUAAAGCUCUAUCAGCAGGGAAGAAAAUGAUGGUACCUGACUAAGAAGCCCUGGCUAACUACGUGCCAGCAGCCGCGGCAAUACGCAGGGGGCAAGCGUUAUCCGGAUUUAUUGGGUGUAAAGGGAGCGUAGGCGGCAGCACAAGUCAGAGGUUAAAUCCCGGGGCUUAACCCCGGACCUGCUUUGGAAACUGUGCGGCUGGAGUGCAGGCGGGGUAGGCGGAAUGACUAGUGUAGCGGUGAAAUGCGUAGAUAUUAGGAGGAACACCGGUGGCGAAGGCAGCUUGCUAGACUGUAACUGACGUUGAGGCACGAAAGCGUGGGGAGCAAACAGGAUUAGAUACCCCAGUAGUC
rnacentral:rRNA from 1 species